AGCCACUACCAAACCCUAACCACCCCCGAAGCCUAAAUCCUCCUCCUCUUCCCAAUCUCUCUAUCUCUCUCUCCUCUCUUUCCGCGAUGGCGCAUCAAAUGUCCCCUUCCGAUCACGACCCCAACUCCGACUCGUCCAAGGCCCGCCUCUACAACCCCUACCAGGAUCUCCAGGUUCCCAUGCGAAACCUCUACCAGCUACCUACCUCCCCGGAGUUCCUCUUCGUCGAAGAGGCUAAACGUCAGCGUCGCUCCUGGGGCGAGAAUCUCACCUUCUACACCGGUUGCUCCUACCUCGCCGGCGC
rnacentral:lncRNA from 1 species